rnacentral:rRNA from 1 species
AUGAACGCUAGCUACAGGCUUAACACAUGCCAGUCGAGGGGAAACGGCAUCGAAAGCUUGCUUUUGAUGGGCGUCGACCGGCGCACGGGUGAGUAACGCGUAUCCAACCUGCCCAUCACUUGGGAAUAACCUUGCGAAAGUAAGACUAAUGCCCAAUGACAUCCCACGAAGGCAUCCGAAUGGGAUUAAAGAUUUAUCGGUGAUGGAUGGGGAUGCGUCUGAUUAGCUUGUUGGCGGGGUGACGGCCCACCAAGGCAACGAUCAGUAGGGGUUCUGAGAGGAAGGUCCCCCACAUUGGAACUGAGACACGGUCCAAACUCCUACGGGAGGCAGCAGUGAGGAAUAUUGGUCAAUGGGCGAGAGCCUGAACCAGCCAAGUAGCGUGCAGGAUGACGGCCCUAUGGGUUGUAAACUGCUUUUAUAAGGGAAUAAAGUGGGUCACGUGUGACUUUUUGCAUGUACCUUAUGAAUAAGGACCGGCUAAUUCCGUG